rnacentral:rRNA from 1 species
CAGCCGCCACGGUAAUACGUAGGUGGCAAGCGUUGUCCGGAAUUAUUGGGCGUAAAGGGCUCGCAGGCGGUUUCUUAAGUCUGAUGUGAAAGCCCCCGGCUCAACCGGGGAGGGUCAUUGGAAACUGGGAAACUUGAGUGCAGAAGAGGAGAGUAGAAUUCCACGUGCAGCGGUGAAAUGCGUAGAGAUGUGGAGGAACACCAGUGGCGAAGGCGACUCUCUGGUCUGUAACUGACGCUGAGGCGCGACAGCGUGGGGAGCAAACAGGAUUAGAUACCCCGGUAGUCCCUGUCUCUUAUAC